rnacentral:lncRNA from 1 species
UUUUUUUUUGUUUUAUUAUCAUUAUCAUCUCUUCUUUAAAAUGUAUAUUGAUGUAUUCCCUCAAAAAGAAGAUAAUAUAUUUUUAUGUAAAGUUGACAUUGGAAAUAGAAGUAUGCUGUGUAGGAGAUUUGACUCUGUAAAAGGGAAACAAAAAAGUUUUGAGGAUAAAUAUUUCUUAUAUAUUCCUUUGAAACAUUGACAACUGUAAUACAAUGAGGCAAAUAAACUCUACCUUUUCUAAUCAACAACUACAUAUUUAAGCUUCCUCUUGGAUUUAUGGACUGUAUUAUUCCCAAGAGGAAAAGGCUUCUGCAGUUGCUGCAUAGUCUCUGAUUUGAAGAAACUGGAACAAAGAUUUCCAACACAAGUUUCUUGAAGAUAAACCAAACCAAGCUUUAUACAUGUAGAACAAACAAGCUCAUCAAAUCAAUAUUAGUCAGUGAUAAUGAGUUAUGUUAACAUCUCUCAAUCUCUCUUUCUAGGGAUCUCUGUAGAGUUUUUGGUUGCAUACAUAGGAACGUUCUCUGAUUUGAAGAAACUGAAACAAAGAUUUCCAAAACAAGUUUCACGAAGAUAGACCAAACCAAUGGAUAACAAGUGACUAAAAUCUAGCUUUAAACAUGCAGAACAAGCAAUCUCAUGAAAUCAGCAUUAUGCAGUGAUGGAAGUGACGUUAACAUCCUUUAAUCUCUUUAUUGGGAUCUUUGUAGAGUCUUUGACUAUACAGACACAUAGACAGACAACAGUGAUAACAGGCAAUGUGGGGGGGGGUGUGAUGGGCAAGUGUUCAAGGUCUGUCCCUCACAAACAAAACCUUUUUCUUUCCUUCUCCUUAUCCAUUAUUCAAAGUUUAAAUGUGUUCUUCUGCCUGCAUAAUGAAAUCCACCACCAGGCUAAAAGGGUCCCUCACCCUCAGCCCAUAAAGCCAACUCAAUAUGGGUUGUGCCCGGGAAUCUGCAUCCGAAGAGAAAGACAAAAAUAUGUGCAUAUUUAUAUUGCUUUAAGGUUGGAAAUUUAUAGGCGGAUUUCGUAGCGGGCAGCAAAGCCUGGAUGGAGAGAGACCAAAAGCUAGUCUUUGACACUGCUGCAAUGAUGCUUGUAGUCCAUUGACCAAUGAUGCCAUGUCAAAAAAGCUCAAGAACUUGAGCUAGAAUGUCUCAUGGCUAUUAGAUCCCUAGAAUUCAUCAUCGCCUCUUUGCUUUAGUAAGCAAGUCUAUAUGAACCAGACAUGGUGCCAUCUUUAUCAUCUUCAUCCCUAUCCAACCUCCCUAUAAAUUCCCACAUCACUAGCCAAUUUGGUUGUGGAGCCCACAACAUGGUGGGUGCUCUCCACAUGGUGUUUGAGUGUGCCUAUCUUGUAUCAAAUUUAUCUCUCUACUUUGCUACAUAUAACUCUUUUAAAUAUGGGUGGAUAUAAAUUGAAUUCUAACUUUACACAUAUAUUCAUAGGUCUAAGGUUUAAAUUCUUAUUUAAUAAAACCUCAUUUAAUAAAUUAGAGAGGAUUGCAUAAUUUAAUUCUAUUUUGAUGUCAUAUUCAUGAGGAUAGAUAGUGUCAAUCGAUUAAACGAAGAAUAUAGAAAGAUAGAAGUCAUAGAAGAAACUAUGAAAUGUAUAAGAUGUAAAUGUCUAGUUCAUUUUGAUAGUGAGCUCUUGAUAGCUAUGAAAUGUCCUUUGGAGAAGGACUUGGUGUUCUCAGUCAAUCUGCAACACAAACCAUGGUUUAACUCUUUAUUUUUUGCUUGUGUCAUUUGAAAGAGAUGCAAAGAAUUCACGUCAUAUGUUCAUCCAUCACCCGUUUUAAGUGUGAUAAUAUUUGCUGAAUUCAACUUUUUGGCCUGAAACCAAAAUCUAGUUUACUUACUUUGAAGCAAAUCAAACUCAUAUGUUGACAUCAACCUUACUGCUAAUUAGACCUCUUACGGUCAACAGUAUACGAGCGAGGUGAGGGAGGGAUCACACACAACUCUCGGCCCUUAGCCGUCACGACUCUUGAUGCUGCAUCUAAGCAUCAAGAAGAACUCGUCGGUUUCAUCUGAUCUCUCCAAGGCCACGCCACGCAACGCAGUCGCCGCGCGCGGCAGGUGGAAGGGGAAGAGGCCGCCGAAGGCGGCUGCGCCUCCGCGGCUUCCCUAUCUUCCUCCGUGAUCGUGUCGAGGAUCCUCGUCACCUUGUACCUCACGAUGGACACGAACUGCGGCGGAGCAGCCUCCGUCACGUACCGGCCCACUGCCUGCGCUUUGGCCGCCAUCAUCUCGUCUUCUCCGUUCGCUCAGGCUCAGCUCAGGCGAGGCCACGUCUCCUGGAUGCUCGGAGGGAGGCAUUUAUAGAGCGCUGCAGCGACAGGGAAGGAAGGAAUCAAUGUGGGGAAGAUGCAGAGGGCAGGUUUGGAUGGCCGUGGGGGGAUGCGACUGUGGGCGUCCGCUCCCUGACGAGGGGAGGCGUCGUCUUCAUCGCCGGAUCCGACUUUUUGCAUUGAAUGCGCGGGGUUGGCGUUAUGCGAGCCAAAGCGCGGUGCGUGGGGUGGAUACGUGUUCUUCCGCGACGCGAUCUACUUGUGUUCGUGGUUUCUUGUGUUGUCUGCUGUCGCUUUCGCGUGCAUGAUGAUGCCGAAGAGGUAAUAAAGUGUUCGACGAAAUGCUUUCACCGAGUUGGUGUAAGAUGUAUAUUUUUUAGUACUACUAAAAUUAAGCAACCUCAAAGCAGAU